rnacentral:ncRNA from 1 species
GCACAUGUGAGAUCAUGACGACAAGAGACCUAGGACCAAGGAACCCUACGUUGUGAUAGCCUCCGUCAUCGCGUCUGAUUAGCUAGUUGGUGAGGCAAUAGCUUACCAAGGCGAUGAUCAGUAGCUGGUCCGAGAGGAUGAUCAGCCACACUGGGACUGAGACACGGCC